rnacentral:rRNA from 1 species
AUGAACGCUGGCGGCGUGCCUCAUCCAUGCAGGUCGAGCGAACGGACGAGAAGCUUGCUUCUCUGAUGUUAGCGGCGGACGGGUGAGUAACACGUGGAUAACCUACCUAUAAGACUGGGAUAACUUCGGGAAACCGUAGCUAAUACCGGAUAAUAUUUUGAACCGCAUGGUUCAAAAGUGAAAGACGGUCUUGCUGUCACUUAUAGAUGGAUCCGCGCUGCAUUAGCUAGUUGGUAAGGUAACGGCUUACCAAGGCAACGAUGCAUAGCCGACCUGAGAGGGUGAUCGGCCACACUGGAACUGAGACACGGUCCAGACUCCUACGGGAGGCAGCAGUAGGGAAUCUUCCGCAAUGGGCGAAAGCCUGACGGAGCAACGCCGCGUGAGUGAUGAAGGUCUUCGGAUCGUAAAACUCUGUUAUUAGGGAAGAACAUAUGUGUAAGUAACUGUGCACAUCUUGACGGUACCUAAUCAGAAAGCCACGGCUAACUACGU